GGGGUGAGGAGGGGUCCGGGGUGGGCGUGCGAGGGACCAAGAUGAGCGCGCGGGGGUCCAGGUGGGCGUGCAAGGGUCCGAGGUGAGCGUGGCAGGGUCUGGGUGGGUGUGUGAGGGUCUGGGUGAGUGUGCAAAGGGUCCGGGUGGGCGUGCAAGGCUCAGGGGUGGGUGUGCAAGGGUCUGAGAUGAGCGUGCAAGGCUCAGGGUGGGUGAGCGUGCAAGGCUCAAGGAUGAGCGUGGAGUGGUCUGGGUGGGUGUGCAAGGCUCAGGGUGGGUGAGUGUGCAAGGCUCAGGGAUGAGCGUGCAAGGCUCAGGGUGGGUGUGCAAGGCUCAGGGUGGGUGUGCAAGGCUCAGGGAUGGGUGUGCAAGGCUCAGGGUGGGUGAGUGUGCAAGGCGCCGCUGCGGUGCCGCAGGGGCGUGCAAGGGCCGGGCAGGGGCGGGGAAGGUGCUGGAAGGAGCCGGGGGGGCGUGCAAGGGACACGGGGGGUGUGCCAGGUGUGCCAGGUGUGCCAGGUGUGCCAGGUGUGCCAGGGACACCCAAGGGACACCCAGGGGACACCCAAGGGACACCCAGGGGACACCCGGGGCUGCCAGGCCCCCCCGGCCCGGCCGCGAGGCGGCUGCUGCGUCACCCGGGGCUGCACACGCGUGUCCCCUGCGUGUCCCCGAGCGUGUCACGCGUACCUGAGCGUGUCACGCGUGUCCUCUGCGCGUGUCCCCGAGCGUGUCACGCGUGUCCCUGCGGCCUUGGCCCCGCGCCAGUGAUGCCACCAGGCCCCAGAUUCCUGAUGUCCCCAAACCCCGAUGUCCCCAAACCCCGAUGUCCCCAAAUCCCGAUGUCCCCAUCCCGGUGUCCCCGUGUCCUUGUCCCUGUGCCAGUGGCACUGCCAGGCCCCGAGGUCCCUGUCCCCAUAUCCCUGUCCUUGUCCCCAUC
rnacentral:lncRNA from 1 species